GUGGGGAAUCUUAGACAAUGGGGGAAACCCUGAUCUAGCCAUGCCGCGUGAGCGAUGAAGGUCUUAGGAUUGUAAAAUUCUUUCACCGGGGACGAUAAUGACGGUACCCGGAGAAGAAGCUCCGGCUAACUUCGUGCCAGCAGCCGCGGUAAUACGAAGGGGGCUAGCGUUGCUCGGAAUUACUGGGCGUAAAGGGCGCGUAGGCGGACAGCUUAGUCAGAGGUGAAAGCCCAGGGCUCAACCUUGGAAUUGCCUUUGAUACUGGCUGUCUUGAGUUUGGGAGAGGUGAGUGGAACUCCGAGUGUAGAGGUGAAAUUCGUAGAUAUUCGGAAGAACACCAGUGGCGAAGGCGACUCACUGGCCCAAUACUGACGCUGAGGCGCGAAAGCGUGGGGAGCAAACAGGAUUAGAUACCCCUGUAGUCC
rnacentral:rRNA from 1 species